GUUUGAAAGGAGAACAGAAAAGGGGAGGCCCAAUUGUACUCCUUCAUUAAUGCCAUUUUAAUCAAAGACAGCAAGGUCGUCUUUGAAUAAGGGGACUGAUUUUUGUGUCCAUUUUAUACAGUGACUCAUUAGAUGAAGUCAGCACUAAUGUCAGUGAGCAAGAUGGAUACAUGUAAGGAUUUGCCCUGUGGAAAAUCUACCAGCCGUCUAUUGGCACCUGUUCUCACUAGAUCUGUGUCCCACAAGAUGUAUCCCCAGCGUUGAACUGCUGACAUUAAGCACUUUCAAGGCAGCA
rnacentral:lncRNA from 1 species